AUUGAACGCUGGCGGCAUGCCUUACACAUGCAAGUCGAACGGUAACAGGUCUUCGGAUGCUGACGAGUGGCGAACGGGUGAGUAAUACAUCGGAACGUGCCUAGGAGUGGGGGAUAACUACUCGAAAGAGUGGCUAAUACCGCAUGAGAUCUACGGAUGAAAGCAGGGGAUCGCAAGACCUUGUGCUACUAGAGCGGCCGAUGGCAGAUUAGGUAGUUGGUGGGAUAAAAGCUUACCAAGCCGACGAUCUGUAGCUGGUCUGAGAGGACGAUCAGCCACACUGGGACUGAGACACGGCCCAGACUCCUACGGGAGGCAGCAGUGGGGAAUUUUGGACAAUGGGCGCAAGCCUGAUCCAGCAAUGCCGCGUGCAGGAUGAAGGCCUUCGGGUUGUAAACUGCUUUUGUACGGAACGAAAAGCCCCGGGUUAAUACCCUGGGGUCAUGACGGUACCGUAAGAAUAAGCACCGGCUAACUACGCGCCAGCCGCCGCCGUAA
rnacentral:rRNA from 1 species